rnacentral:rRNA from 1 species
CCAGACUCCUACGGGAGGCAGCAGUGAGGAAUAUUGGUCAAUGGGCGUAAGCCUGAACCAGCCAAGUAGCGUGCAGGAUGACGGCCCUAUGGGUUGUAAACUGCUUUUAUGCGGGGAUAAAGUGGCCCACGUGUGGGUUUUUGCAGGUACCGCAUGAAUAAGGACCGGCUAAUUCCGUGCCAGCAGCCGCGGUAAUACGGAAGGUCCGGGCGUUAUCCGGAUUUAUUGGGUUUAAAGGGAGCGUAGGCCGUGGAUUAAGCGUGUUGUGAAAUGCAGGUGCUCAACGUCUGCACUGCAGCGCGAACUGGUCCACUUGAGUGUGCACAACGCAGGCGGAAUUCGUCGUGUAGCGGUGAAAUGCUUAGAUAUGACGAAGAACUCCGAUUGCGAAGGCAGCUUGCGGGAGCACAACUGACGCUGAAGCUCGAAAGUGCGGGUAUCGAACAGGAUUAGAUACCCUGGUAGUCCGCACGGUAAACGAUGGAUGCCCGUUGUCAGGCUGUUUCAGUCUGGUGACCAAGCGAAAGCAUUAAGCAUCCCACCUGGGGAGUACGCCGGCAACGGUGAAACUCAAAGGAAUUGACGGGGGCCCGCACAAG